UAGACAUGCACAAUUCCAAGGUCAAUGAUAUUUUAUAAAAAAAUCUCCAUCCAAAUUGCAUUUCUUGUCUCUCAAUUUUAUAUAUAUAAACCAAUCAGAGUUUUAGGUAUCUAUCAUUUUUCUUACCUUUCCUCCCCACCUUUUUUUUUUUAUAAGUUAGGCUGCUAAUGCUCAAACCACCUAACUUCUGGAUCUUCUUAUCUGCAAGUUUUUUUAAUUUGCUUGGAUCUUGUCGCGCCUUCUACAACUGGAGCCUGUUUCUCAUCUCCAAAUAUUUCGAAGGUUUUUCCAAAGGUUGGUAAUUUGGCACUUUCUCUCUCUGCUAAAGCUGUGGCCCUUGCUUCUUGAAUUUUGGCCGUGGAGUCCUUGUGUGAACAUGAGGCAGCAAAAACAUGAGUAUAGGAGGGAAAGAACAUAGGAGUGGAAUCCAAUUGUAUAUUUAACUUCUCAAUCAUUUGACUUCUCACACAGAACAAAUUAAGCCAAGGACAAUCCUGCCCUGUUCAAAACUUUCUGGCCCUGAAAUUGUGUAACAAGUAGUGGACUCGAUGUACAUGUACUUUAAUGAAUUCUCACCAUCACGAUACUAAAAAAUUAACCAUGGUGGAAGCAAGGAAAAUGGCUGGCAUUUCUAACUCCACGGAAGCAAGUAACUUACUACUCCCCCAUUUUCCAAUCCUCUCAACUUUAACUCCUUGGAAUAGUAUACUAGAAACUAAAGCAAAUUCAUAUUCUACCAAAAAAACCCUCAUCACGAAGUUAAUACCUCUAAAGCACUCAUAACUCUAGGGAAAAAAGCGCAGCUGUGAACAACCCUACUUGUAGCCCAUGGGUUCUGAAAUAGCAUAAAGUAUGACUAUCCAAGAAUUUUCUAUUGGCAACAUAUAAUACUCAGCUCAGUACUAAAUAAAAGUGCAGAAAUGGGUGGAAAUUGGAUGACCGACAACAGAACUUCAAAAGAAUUGGUGAUGCAAGCAAUGACAGGUUUUAAGUAUGGCUUUGUAAACAUUAACUAUGUAUUUAGAAAUCCUACUAAAAAUUGCUUUCUGCCUUUCUCUCACCACUGUCAAAUAAAAUUUCACUCAAAUCUACAAUUCAUAAUUUUUCAUAUACAUCAUCGUUGUGAUGUGAGUGAAUUCAACUAAUGUGUAUGAUCCUAUGACUAUAUUAUCGACAUUAUUAUUAAUGAAAAAAAGAGUGUUCAUUCUAAAUUUAA